rnacentral:hammerhead_ribozyme from 1 species
AUCCAGCUGGCGAGUCCUAAGUAGGACGAAACGCGCGUCCUGGAU